rnacentral:tmRNA from 1 species
AGCCUUUCGUUGAGGCGGCGCGCUUCCUAUAUUGCUCCUGUCGGCUCGCGCCGACUAUGGCGAUAAACGGACGCGUAAUAAGCGGUUCGGACCCGGGGGCAGUACCCGGCGCCUCCACCAUAUCCUCCCUCGCGGCCGUCGGGCCGGGGGGACGGCCUCGAGGCUCGAGGCCAGGCCAUGGGGGCGAACCAGGAUCGACGGACGUGUAAAGGUGCUCUUUUCGCCCGGGAUGGUACCGCCGUUAACGGACCGCCAGAAUAGUUGCCAAUGACAACUAUGCUGAGGUGCGUCUCGCCGCCUAAGGCGGUCGGACAAACCGACUUGAAGCCCUAGGCCUUCAGCGGGUCUAGGCGGGGUCCGGAGGGCACCUGGCAACAGAAGCCCUCCACC